rnacentral:rRNA from 1 species
UACGGGGGGGGCAAGCGUUGUUCGGAAUUACUGGGCGUAAAGGGCUCGUAGGCGGCCAACUAAGUCAGACGUGAAAUCCCCAGGCUCAACCUGGGAACUGCGUCUGAUACUGGAUGGCUUGAAUCCGGGAGAGGGAUGCAGAAUUCCAGGUGUAGCGGUGAAAUGCGUAGAUAUCUGGAGGAACACCGGUGGCGAAGGCGGCAUCCUGGACCAAUAUUGACGCUGAGGAGCGAAAGCUAGGGGAGCAAACGGG